rnacentral:rRNA from 1 species
AUUGAACGCUGGCGGCAGGCCUAACACAUGCAAGUCGAACGAGUGGCGGACGGGUGAGUAAUGUCUGGGAAACUGCCUGAUGGAGGGGGAUAACUACUGGAAACGGUAGCUAAUACCGCAUACCAUCGGAUGUGCCCAGAUGGGAUUAGCUAGUAGGUGGGGUAACGGCUCACCUAGGCGACGAUCCCUAGCUGGUCUGAGAGCAUGACCAGCCACACUGGAACUGAGGCACGGUCCAGACUCCUACGUGAGUCAGCAGUGGGGAAUAUGGCACAAUGGGCGCAAGCCUGAUAGAGCCAUGCCGCGUGUAUGAAGAGUGCCUGCGGGUUGUAAAGUACUUACAGCGGGGAGGCGUUACCCGCAGAAGAAGCACCGGCUAACUCCGUGCCAGCAGCCGCGGUAAUUC